rnacentral:rRNA from 1 species
UACAGAGGGUGCAAACGUUGUUCGGAAUUACUGGGCGUAAAGCGCGUGUAGGCGGCAGGGCAUGUCGGAUGUGAAAUCCCGUGGCUCAACCACGGAAGUGCACCCGAAACUGCCCAGCUUGAGUCUCGGAGAGGAAGGCGGAAUGCUUGGUGUAGAGGUGAAAUUCGUAGAUAUCAAGCGGAACACCGGUGGCGAAGGCGGCCUUCUGGACGAUGACUGACGCUGAGACGCGAAAGCGUGGGGAGCGAACCGG